CCUACGGGGGGCUGCAGUGGGGAAUAUUGCGCAAUGGGCGAAAGCCUGACGCAGCAACGCCGCGUGCGGGACGACGGCCUUCGGGUUGUAAACCGCUUUCAGCAGGGACGAAACUGACGGUACCUGCAGAAGAAGCACCGGCUAACUACGUGCCAGCAGCCGCGGUGAUACGUAGGGUGCGAGCGUUGUCCGGAAUUAUUGGGCGUAAAGAGCUCGUAGGCGGUCUGUCACGUCGGAAGUGAAAACUCGGGGCUCAACCCCGAGCCUGCUUUCGAUACGGGCAGACUUGAGGAAUGUAGGGGAGAACGGAAUUCCUGGUGGAGCGGUGGAAUGCGCAGAUAUCAGGAGGAACACCAGUGGCGAAGGCGGUUCUCUGGACAUUAACUGACGCUGAGGAGCGAAAGCGUGGGGAGCAAACAGGCUUAGAUACCCGGGUAGUC
rnacentral:rRNA from 1 species